CGAUUGAACGCUGGCGGCAUGCCUUACACAUGCAAGUCGAACGGUAACAGGGAGCUUGCUCCGCUGACGAGUGGCGAACGGGUGAGUAAUGUAUCGGAACGUACCAUUCAGGUGGGGGAUAACGUAGCGAAAGUUACGCUAAUACCGCAUAUUCUGUGAGCAGGAAAGCAGGGGAUCGCAAGACCUUGCGCUGAUUGAGCGGCCGAUAUCAGAUUAGCUAGUUGGUGAGGUAAAAGCUCACCAAGGCGACGAUCUGUAGCGGGUCUGAGAGGAUGAUCAGCCACACUGGGACUGAGACACGGCCCAGACUCCUACGGGAGGCAGCAGUGGGGAAUAUUGGACAAUGGGGGCAACCCUGAUCCAGCAAUGCCGCGUGAGUGAUGAAGGCCUUAGGGUUGUAAAGCUCUUUUGCCAGGGAAGAUGAUGACUGUACCUGGAGAAUAAGCCCCGGCUAACUUCGUG
rnacentral:rRNA from 1 species